UUAAAUUGAAGAGUUUGAUCAUGGCYCAGAUUGAACGCUGGCGGCAGGCCUAACACAUGCAAGUCGAACGGU
rnacentral:rRNA from 1 species